rnacentral:misc_RNA from 1 species
GAUGAAGAACGUAGCGAAAUGCGAUAAGUAAUGUGAAUUGCAGAAUUCAGUGAAUCAUCGAAUCUUUGAACGCACAUUGCGCCCAUUAGUAUUCUAUUGGGCAUGCCUGUUCGAGCGUCAUUACAACCCUUAAGCCUAGCUUAGUGUUGGGAGUCUACCUAACUGGUAGUUCCUCAAAGUUAGUUGGCGGAGUCUAGGUGUACUCUAAGCGUAGUAAAUUUUUUCUCGCUUCUGUAGUCAUCUAAGCUGCAGCCACAAAACCCCCAAAUUUUUAAUGGUUGACCUCGGAUCAGGUAGGAAUACCCGCUGAACUUAAGCAUAUCAAUAAGCGGAGGA